ensembl:lncRNA
GAAGAUCCACUGUAUGCACAUGUUCUUGACAGAUUUGGUUAGAUUCGCUAGUGCAGUGAGUGCACUGCACACAGUUAGCAGCUCCACAUAUUCACACUGAAGGACACCCACACUGCGCUCUCUCUCUCUCUCUCUCUCUCUCUCUCUCGCUCUCUGUAAGAGGCGGCGCAUCGUGCGCUCACUCGUCUGUGCUGUGAGUUUGAGUUCCGAUCCUCAUCUUCCUCACACAGAGAGCUGAACCUGCAGACACUUUCCAGCACGCACUGCAGACGCGUUAACAGUUCGCGGCUUCUCUUCACUGAGACUCACAAAGGAAAUAUCUAUCAGACACGCGGAGACGCGCGCAUCAUUCCAGCGCACCGAACCGAAGCGGAUCCGGAUCUGGCAACAGGAGGAUCUCAAACACAGUCCAAGUGGAUGUUGCAUCGCGCUUUCCAUGGUGCUGAAAUGAUCUGAUCUGAUCUGAUCUCAGUCCGAAUCAUCUUCAUCUGCACAGGAGUGUCUUUUGGUUCUGAGCUGUGAUGCUCUUCGUGGAUUUUCUUCGCGGUCGGAGGAGGUUGCGGGUGUCCGUCUGCAAGCCGCCCUGCUCCUUCUGGUUUCUGCUGCUGUUUGGGAUCGGAGGACUCGUUCUCUUCAUCCACCUGCAGGAUCUGUCCGAUAUGGUGCUUCAGCAGGCUCCAGAUGCAGUAAAACACCUGGCAGAAAACCUCUGGCUUAUGUUUACAUUUUCUUCUGUCACCGACCACAAUUCUGAUCUUAAAAUGAGAAUUAGGCAAGAAAUAAUGCUAUAUAUCUAAAAAUGUGUAGAGAAUUAAACAAAUAGUUGAUGUGUUUGUGGUGUUUUUCUGCUUAUUAAACCAUAACACAAGACUUCUUCACCGCAAAAAUGGUUCUCCCGAACUAAAAUGCUACCAAAUGCAUAAUAUUUUAUGAGAAAGUGAAAAAUUUUAGGAAUCAGCACCUCAGCGUUAGUAAGAAACAAGCAUUGGAUUUCAAUCAGCAAUUAUGAUGCAGGCCGACUUAAAUGAAAUGUCAUAUUAUUCUAGGAGCACUUUUUUAACUCAAUUGCUGAUUUUCUGAAUGGAGUGACUUGUUUUUCUGCUCCUGAAAUGGACACCUGAUCGGAAGGAGCUGUCGGACACAGAGCUUCUUCUGUUAUUCAGCGUGUGUGAGAGCUGUAGGGACGUCCAGCCAGACGCACCUGCAGCUGGAUCCCGACGCUUCCUAACGGACUCGGCUCUCAAAAUGAGCCUUUAAUUGGGUGAAGGAAAAGAAGGCCUUUCAUCUGCCAU